CUCAGGUUGACGACGCAAUCGUGUAACAUAGCGACUAAAAUAAGGCACUUAUAUACUACUAAAUAUUAAGAAUCUAGAAGUAACAAUACUUUCCAUUAAUAAUUGUAUUUUUUUUUUUAAGUCUUACUUCAUCGUCAUUAUAACAGCCGUUAACUGUUCACUGCGGAACAUAGGCAUCCCCUUAGGGGGGUUGCCAGUAGUUGCCACGCUUGGCAAGCGGAUUGGCAACCACAGUUAAGCUUUGGUUAUGUUUUAAGAGGGACACUGCCGCCCAUCGCUCAUGUAUGUAUGAAUUGAAAAUAGAAGGAGCGGAGGUCGAUUUGAUACACAGGUUAUAUGAAAGGAUGCUCCAAAAAAUAUGAGUGUUUACGUGAAAAAAAAAUUAUGUUAUAGACGUGUUAAUAACAGGUAUAAAAAAUAAAUUAAAAGCAAAAUGGAAGUUACCUGAAGAACUGUGUUAACUCCAAACGGAAAGAUUUUGAAAGGAUGAUAUUGAUUGACGACUCAUGGAACUGAAAUAUGAUCAUACAUGGUUGUCUGUAUGCAAAAGCUUCAAAUUAGCUCAGCGAACUAUGGAGAGGGCUAUGCUCAGAGUUUAUUUGCAUGACAGAAUCUGAAUUGAGGAUAUCCGUAAAAGAACCAAAGUUACCGACACAUACCGAAUAAUAAACAAGCUAAAGUGGCAAUAGAUUGGUCACAUAGCUCGAAGAAUCGACAACCGACGGAGAAGAAAGGUUUUUCAGCGGCGAUUCCCACUAAAUGAAAUGACGACCUUAAAUGCAUUCCAAGGAGCCAAUAGAUGCUCAGGACUCAGAUAGCUCAGGACCGUUUCUCAUGACAAUCUAUGGGGUAGCUUAUGUUCAGUAGUGGACAGAUAACGGCUGAUAUGAUAUUAUAGGUAUACCUUUUUCAUCAGAUGGGCAGUCAGUUUGUUUGGUAUUCUAAUUCUUUAGUGCAGUUUACUAGGCUUAUUAAUAAUAUGGAUUAUUAGUAAUUAGGUCUCUUCUAAUUGUUUAAU